UACUACUUCCGGGCAGCAGUCGAAAAAUGUCACUUCGUUUUGCUUUGGUUAUGCUCAGAUGACAGCGUUAAAAUGAACCUACAGCCUAUAUAGAUUCCCUACUUAUGCAAAAAGAGGAAGAAGUGGAUUUAUAGAUGCAGAUGCUGUUAUAUACAUCAUUUCCGUCAGAAGUAUCAAUGUGUUGGUGGCUGUUAUGAAGAGAAUGGGCCCAUUUUAACAACUUCUAGGAUGGGCGGUAGCGGGUAGAAGGGUUCAUACCAGUGAUCAAUUUCUCAUGACUCUUAUGAAGUUGCACCUAAAUCUAAGGGAUCUACAUUUAGCAGGCCAGAGGGCUCAAUGCCGAAUUUACCUCUGAAAGAAUCGCAAUGGAUACAACAAACAUAACACUGAAUUUAACUUUAAAAAUGAAUAACUAGUCAUUAUCUGACAGCAACUACAUUGUGCAAAAUUUGUCACACAGCAAAGGCUAUUACUUGUGUAGCACAAUUGUUCUGAAUUCUAUCCUGGAUCCACCUCUGAUGGUGACAUUGUUGAUCACUGAGGUGUAUUGGAGAUGUUGAAGCCAUAUGAUAUAUGAUUCUUGCUAAUAAAGGAUUUGAUAUAUUUGAUAAACUU